rnacentral:rRNA from 1 species
GACGAACGCUGGCGGCGUGCUUAACACAUGCAAGUCGAACGGAAAGGCCUCUUUCGGGGGGUACUCGAGUGGCGAACGGGUGAGUAACACGUGAGUAACCUGCCCUUGACUUUGGGAUAACUUCAGGAAACUGGGGCUAAUACCGGAUAGGAGCUCCUGCUGCAUGGUGGGGGUUGGAAAGUUUCGGCGGUUGGGGAUGGACUCGCGGCUUAUCAGCUUGUUGGUGGGGUAGUGGCUUACCAAGGCUUUGACGGGUAGCCGGCCUGAGAGGGUGACCGGCCACAUUAGGACUGAGAUACGGCCCAGACUCCUACGGGAGGCAGCAGUGGGGAAUAUUGCACAAUGGGUGGAAGCCUGAUGCAGCAACGCCGUGUGCGGGAUGACGGCCUUCGGGUUGUAAACCGCUUUCGCUCAUGACGAAGCUUUGUGUGACGGUAGUGGGUAAAGAAGCACCGGCUAACUACGUG